UACGUAGGGUGCAAGCGUUGUCCGGAAUUAUUGGGCGUAAAGAGCUCGUAGGCGGUCUGUCGCGUCGGCUGUGAAAACCCGGGGCUCAACCCCGGGCCUGCAGUCGAUACGGGCAGACUAGAGUGCGGUAGGGGAGACUGGAAUUCCUGGUGUAGCAGUGAAAUGCGCAGAUAUCAGGAGGAACACCGAUGGCGAAGGCAGGUCGCUGGGCUGGUAACUGACGCUGAGGAGCGAAAGCAUGGGGAGCGAACAGG
rnacentral:rRNA from 1 species